UUUUUUAGUUUUUCAGGUCACUGUGUAACGGAUACGUUUCAAACUCUGAAUUCUGACAUUCACGUGAAAAUGCAGUAGCUCAUCAGGUUCUACCCCCCCCCGUGGAUUUGGAUUUAGGAGUGGCAUCGCUGGCCGAAUAGAGGCAGUUGGAGAGUGGAUGGAGGUGGUGGGGAAGAAGGAGGUACUGAACCUUUUCUCGUGAGUCUCUGGUGUCAUGAGCUGCCGAAGGUCAUAGCUCAGGCGUAAUGAAGGACCGUUUGUCCUAUCACAGGUUGUUAGGAGUGAUGUACAGUACAUGUCAUCAUAAAAUGUUUACAUUUUCA